rnacentral:rRNA from 1 species
CAACUCUCAACAACGGAUAUCUUGGCUCCCGUAUCGAUGAAGAACGCAGCGAAAUGCGAUACGUAGUGUGAAUUGCAGAAUUCCGUGAACCAUCGAAUCUUUGAACGCAAAUUGCGCCCGAGGCCUCGGCCGAGGGCAUGUCUGCCUCAGCGUCGG